GGGAAUUUUAAAAUUUUAUAGCAGUUUGGUUUUAAAUUUGACAGUUCUGUUUUCUCAAGUCAAAAAUCUUAACCUUACUUUUACAAGUGAUUAGGAUUAUUAUUAUUAUUUUAUUUACAUGUAAAUUGAAACAAUAAAUAUUGUGCUGUGUCAUAAUCUCAAACUCAUUAUGUUGCAGUCUUUUCCAGUUGAUAAAAUUGCAAUUCAAAAACUUUUAGAUUUGCACUGUAAAGAUGGCACAGGAAGAGAACAAGAGUACAAGAACAUGAAACAUCUUAUUAUGAAUGUAUAUGUAUGUGAUCCUCAAAAAAUUAUUUUACAAAACAAGAUAGAGAAAGAGCUUUAAAAUCCCAAGGAUCCUGCAAAAUGUUUAUUUGGUGUACUAGUUGAAUAAUAGUAUCUGAAAAUAUUCAAACUAUUUUAAAACACAUUAUGGGCAUGAGGAUGAUAUAGAGCACUUACAUAAAUACCAAAAUCAGAUAAAUAUCUCUUCAAAGUUUAUUUUGAGACUUUCUUCAACAAUUAAACUUCAGACUGUUCAGGAUAGCAUAAUAGCAUAGGAGGCGAAAUAAAAAGAAUUGAUUUACUUACAAGAAAAGAUAUCACAAACAUUAAACUCUCUUAUGGCAUUGAUUUGAAAGAUGGGUAUAUGUACAAUGAUGAUGCAACCAGUGUUUAUUUUUGGGUUGAAUGCUUACAGACUCAUGUCCAAUAUUAUUUUACAAACAACAGGGCAUACUAAUGGAUAUUCAUUCUGAAUUUAACAUUUAUGAUUUUUGUCUUAUUUUCCUUAAUACUGUGCCAAAAGGAAAUGUUAAUUAAGUUUGGUAAAUCCUUUAUCGCAAUCGAUGGAACUCAUGGGCUCAAUUCCUAUGACUUUGAACUUAUGACAGUAUUAGUAAAAGAUGAAUUUGGGAAUGGAUUUUGUACUGCUUUCUUAUUUUCAAAUAGAAAAGAUACCUACUUUAA